UCCAUUAGUUUGUUGGCGGGGUAACGGCCCACCAAGACAUCGAUGGAUAGGGGUUCUGAGAGGAAGGUCCCCCACAUUGGAACUGAGACACGGUCCAAACUCCUACGGGAGGCAGCAGUGAGGAAUAUUGGUCAAUGGACGAGAGUCUGAACCAGCCAAGUAGCGUGAAGGAUGACUGCCCUAUGGGUUGUAAACUUCUUUUAUAUGGGAAUAAAGUGAGCCACGUGUGGCUUUUUGUAUGUACCAUACGAAUAAGGAUCGGCUAACUCCGUGCCAGCAGCCGCGGUAAUACGGAGGAUCCGAGCGUUAUCCGGAUUUAUUGGGUUUAAAGGGAGCGUAGGCGGACUAUUAAGUCAGCUGUGAAAGUUUGCGGCUCAACCGUAAAAUUGCAGUUGAUACUGGUCGUCUUGAGUGCAGUAGAGGUAGGCGGAAUUCGUGGUGUAGCGGUGAAAUGCUUAGAUAUCA
rnacentral:rRNA from 1 species